ACACCUCCUAAUAGUGUCACUUCCUGGGCCAAGUGUUUUCAAACCACCAUACUAAGGAAACAAAAGAUGUCUGCAACAAAGACUUUAAAGUGCUCAAUGAAGACCUGGAGAGAUGGCUCGAUGGUUAAGAGCACUUGUUCCUCUUUGCAGAGGACUGAGCUCAGGCCUCAGCAUCUACAUGGUACUCACAACUAUCUGUAACUACAGUUUUAGGAGACCCAGAGGCUUCCUCUGACCGUCAAAGGAGACAGGUGCUCACACAGUACACAUACAUACAUACAUACAUACAUACAUACAUACAUACAUACAUAGGCAAAAAUUCACACACACAAAAUAAUGACAGAAAACACAGCCGUUAUGGGAGUAACCAACUGAGUGAUAAAGUGGGAUACAAGGCCCACUUCGUAGGAGGGAGCUCACGCCCUAAUGGAGGUCUGGUCAAAGACCCAUGGCUAGGGGAGACAUUGGUUCUGGGGGUGAGCCUACUGUGUUUAUUUUGCUAAGUGGACAUAUUGCCAAAUUGCAUCUUAAAUAUUUAUGUUUGCUCUGUGGACUAGUAGCAUCCUUAAGGUUUGUUCAAAGAAUUUUGUCUUCACAGGGAACCAUGUUUAACACAAACUCAUGAUUGGUGACAAUGUGAGAACCAGUUACAAUGCAUGCUCAACCUUUCACAAAACAGCCCUAUUAUCUCCUGCACAGCUUGGAGAACAUUGGGGAAGAGGCAGGAGAAAGAAUUGAAGAUCUGACUGGUAGAGAGAAGGGACAAAAGGUGCUGUCAUGUGGGCAUGAUAUGACUGCCACACCCACAAACUCAUAAUGGCUACAGUUGUCUGCACAAGCCGGAGCCCCAAAACAUCCAAUCAUAGAUGGGGGAGAGUUUCAUAGGAUCCCCCAAUCCAGGGAGUAUGGCAGUGGAAGGCUGCAGGGGUGGGGAAGAGGAAAUCACUGUCUUCAGUGAUGUAGCUUUUUCUGAGUUAUCCAUAAUGCAGUGGACUCUCCACACUCAAGCCCAUGCUAAUGGCACUCAUUAGAGCUGGUGGAUCACGAUGCAGAAACAAGAGGGAUGGAGCUUGGAACAGGAGGAAGGUAAGAAAGAGCGAAGGAAUGAUGGUGAACAGAAUGUAUUAUACAUAUGUAUCAACUUGUCAAAGAAUAAAUUAAUAAAAUAAAUAAGAGAGCAAUUGAAAAAGGCACCCACACAGACCUCAGAGCUCUACACACCUGAGUGUAUGCUGAGCAUGUAUGUACAUGCACACACGUGUGUGCACCUCACACCACACAGACCUCAGAGCUCUAUGCUUUAGUGCAUACUGAGCACAUAUGUACAUGCACACACAUGUGUGCACCUCAUACCACACAGACCUUUGAACUCUACAUCUGAUCACAUGCUGAGCAUAUAUACAGAUGCAUACACAUGUGUACACCUCACAUCACACAGACCUCAGAGCUCUACACACCUGAGUGCAUGCUAAGCGUAUAUGCACAUGCACACACACGUGUGCACCUCAUACCACACAGACCUCAAAGCUCUACACAACUGAGUGCAUGCUGAGCAUGUAUGUACAUGCAGACACAUGUGUACACCACACACACACACACACACACACACACGCACACACACACACACGUCGAGGAGGUGAGUAUACUUCAGUUUAGUUAAGUAGAAAUCUGACUUCGACUAUUCUUCCUGUAAGUCGGUGGUUCUCAAGCUUCGUGGCACUGCAACACUUUAAUGGAGUCCAUGUUGUGGUAACCCACAACCAUAAAAUUAUCCUAGUUGCUACUUCAUAACUGUAGUUUUGUUACUGUUAUGAACCGUGGUGUAAAUAUUUUUGGAGAUAAGAGAUUCGCCAAAACGGUUGCCACUCACAGGUUGAGAACCACUGCUAUAACUCAAUAUUAACUCUUACCUGACAAGACAGACAUCAUGAUGUUUAUCAAAGAUUCUAAUGGAGUUUGGGUUGGUAGAGAAAAUCUUUGCGUUAGUAAAAUUUCAUACUAAUCAAUUACUUUAACACUAUGAAAUAUUUUGCAACUCACGUCUGCCUAAAGCAGGACUCUAAAAUACGAAGAUGACGUGUAAUUCCUCAGUCGCACCACUGGGUGGAGCCAUUUCCACAGCAAAGAUACAACGAAGCGAGAGAGAGAUCAAAGUUGGGGAGGUGGCCUUCGACGACAAUGACGACGACGACGACGACAUAGCACACAUGUUUACAGAAAGAAGAUGAAGCAAGGGCAUGCCUGGCGCCAACAGAGGUCCAAGGAGGUCGUCGGAUUUGCUGCAUUUGGAGUUACCAGAUAAUGGGCUGUCACAGUUUCAGGCAUCGCCCACAGCUUUGCCCAUGGGUGGUCGGAUGUGAACUCAGGUCCUCAUGCUUGGGAAGCAAGCUCUUCACUGACUGAGCUGUCUCUCCACUCCCCUGUAGCUUGCACUGUUGUCAUCCUGCCUCAGUCCCUGUUCUCCACAGUGGAUUCACCACGAACGAAAUAGUCCACUGUAGCGGAAGUCACCUCAGUGGCUGACUGGUGGGAUGCGAGUCCAGGGUGGCGUCCAGAGGGAUUCACAAGGACUAUGGGUUCAGGACCUGUGUCUGUGAGCAUGGACCAGAGAUGCCAAGCAUUUGUGGACUCCAGAAUCUAGUUUUGGGAAUGGACGCCAGAUAUGCUGUGGUAGCCUUCUUUGGAUCAACAUGGCUCAGCUCGGCUCUUGGGCGACUCCAGGAGGCAGGAGCCAGGGUCAUCCAGGUACAGGAACCGUCAAUUGAGAAGAAAGAUGCCUUCCUCAGACUGGCAUGUGGGCAAGUCUUUGUGUGCUUUGUCAAUCAAUGAUUGGUGUGGGAAGACCCAGCCCACCGUGGGUGGUGCCACUCCUGUGCCUGUGGUUCCAGGUUGCAUAAGAAGGCGGUCUGGAAAAGGCAUGGGGCUCAAGCCUAGCCCUGUUUCUCCAUGGUUUUGCUUUAGGUUCUUCCUCCAGGUUCCUGCUCAUGUUCUGCCCUGCGUUCUUUCCAUGAUGGGCUGUGAUGGGGAUGUGUUAACCAAACAAACCUUUUCCUUUGCUUUUGGUCAGUGUUUUAUCAUAAACAGCAAGCUAGGGCAGAUGUCAGUCACUUACAGAUGUUACUAGAAGAGGAAUCUGGCAUCUGGAACCCCAGGGUCAGUCAAAUUCCUCAGCUUGCUCCAUCCAAUAAGGUAUUUAUUUAUUUAUUUUUUAUAUUUUUUGACUGGUUCGUUUCACUUAAUAUCUUCAAGGUCCAUUCACAUGGUACCACGUGUCAUGAUUCCCUUCACUUUUGAAGCUGAAUAAUAUUCCUUUGCAUGUGUGUGCUGUGUUCUUUAAGUACACUUAUCCACUGCUGGUGGAUAUUGGUGGCUUCUCUCUUUUAGGUGUUGUAAAUAGUGCUUCUGAGAAGAAGGCUGUGCUGUAUCAUUUGAGGAUACAUUUUCAGUUUCCUUAGAUAAAUACCCAUAGAAGAAUUACUAUGUCAUGUAUGCAAACAUGCAAAUUAUCAUUUUAUUUAUUU
rnacentral:sRNA from 1 species